GACGAACGCUGGCGGCGUGCUUAACACAUGCAAGUCGAACGAUGAAGAAGAGAAACGCGAACUUCGGUUCAAAUUUCACUUCGGAUUAGUGGCAGACGGGUGAGUAACGCGUGAGCAACCUACCUCUUACAAAGGGAUAGCCUCGGGAAACCGUGAUUAAUACCAUAUGACACAUUCAUAAGGCAUCUUAAGAAUGUUAAAGCUACGGCGGUAAGAGAUGGGCUCGCGUCCCAUUAGCUAGUUGGUGAGGUAACGGCCCACCAAGGCGACGAUGGGUAACCGGGCUGAGAGGGUGAACGGUCACAUUGGAACUGAGACACGGUCCAAACUCCUACGGGAGGCAGCAGAGGGGAAUAUUGCAAAAUGGAGUGAACUCUGAUGCAGCGACGCCGCGUGAGCGAUGAAGGAAGUCGUGUCGUAAAGCUCUGUUCUAUGGGAAGAAAAGGACUGUACCAAAGGAGAAAGCCCCGGCUAAAUACGUG
rnacentral:rRNA from 1 species